UAUCUCUGUAGAGUCUGCAUAUCAAUAAGCGGAGGAAAAGGAAACUAACUAGGAUUCCCUUAGUAACGGCGAGUGAAGCGGGAAGAGCUCAAAUUUGAAAUCUUCAAGGUUUUACCUUGACGAAUUGUAGUUUAAAGAAGUGUUUUCUGUUGAAGUUUCGGUAAAAGUUCUUUGGAAUAGGACAUCAUAGAGGGUGAGAAUCCCGUAUUUGACCGUUAUUUUCAGCUGUGUGAUACACUUUCAAAGAGUCGGAUUGUUUGGGAAUGCAGUCCAAAAUGGGUGGUAAAUUUCAUCUAAAGCUAAAUAUUGGCGAGAGACCGAUAGCGAACAAGUACCGUGAGGGAAAGAUGAAAAGAACUUUGAAAAGAGAGUUAAACAGUACGUGAAAUUGUCAAAAGGGAAGCGUUUGACACCAGUGUUGUUUAGUUGAAAAUCAAUUAAAUAAUUUUUGAUUUUGAGUAGUAUUGACUUCAUCAGCUUGCUGCUUUCUUCUCGGAAAUUAUUUAAUGCACUUUUCAGUUAACAAGUCAACAUCAAUUUCUUUUGUUGUAAAAAGGUAAGAGGAAGGUGGCUUGCGCUUCGGCUCAAGUGUUUAUAGCCUUUUACUUCUGCAAUCGGAGAGAUUGAGGUCUGCAGCGUAGAUCCUUCGGGGUUAGAUACAUUUGUGCUAAGCUAUAGCCUUGUAUAGACAACUUGUUGACUAUGCUCAGUCAUGUAGCUUACUCGCUUAUGCUAUUUUACCUACGCUUAGGAUGUUGAUCUCUCACAGUCGAGC
rnacentral:rRNA from 1 species